rnacentral:rRNA from 1 species
UGGGGAAUAUUGGUCAAUGGACGCAAGUCUGAACCAGCCAUGCCGCGUGAAGGAUGAAGGCAUUCUGGGUUGUAAACUUCUUUUAUCUGGGAAGAAACUUCCGAUUUCUAUUGGAGUUGACGUUACCAGAGGAAUAAGCACCGGCUAACUCCGUGCCAGCAGCCGCGGUAAUACGGAGGGUGCAAGCGUUAUCCGGAUUUACUGGGUUUAAAGGGUGUGUAGGCGGGCUAUUAAGUCAGUGGUGAAAUCUCCGAGCUUAACUUGGAAACUGCCAUUGAUACUAUUAGUCUUGAAUUUUGUUGAGGUAGGCGGAAUAAGUCAUGUAGCGGUGAAAUGCUUAGAUAUGACUUAGAACACCAAUUGCGAAGGCAGCUUGCUAAACAAACAUUGACGCUGAGGCACGAAAGCGUGGGGAUCAAA